rnacentral:lncRNA from 1 species
CUAUAAAACCUAACCCCGUCGUGAGCUAGGUUUUUGGUGCGCUCUCUUCCUCAUCUCCCUCGGCGGCGGCGGCGGCGGCGGGCGAAGGAGGAGGCGAAAUGGUAAGGGGAAUCCGCCGCGAGAGAGGCGAUCGAUGCGUUUCGCUGUGGCUUGUCCUCGCGGUGGAUCUGACUCGCUUGAUUUUGGUGUUGCGCAGGGUAAGGGUACGGGGAGCUUCGGCAAGCGCCGGAACAAGACGCACACGCUCUGCGUGCGCUGCGGCCGCCGCAGCUUCCACCUGCAGAAGAGCACCUGCUCCUCCAGCGGCUUCUGACUCGCUUGAUUUUGGUGUUGCGCAGGGUAAGGGUACGGGGAGCUUCGGCAAGCGCCGGAACAAGACGCACACGCUCUGCGUGCGCUGCGGCCGCCGCAGCUUCCACCUGCAGAAGAGCACCUGCUCCUCCUGCGGCUACCCGGCUGCCCGCAUCCGCAAGUGUAAGAUGAGAUCGCCCGAUCCCCAUACCCACCUUCUCCAGUAUA